UACGAAGGGGGCUAGCGUUGUUCGGAUUAACUGGGCGUAAAGGGUGCGUAGGCGGGGUUUUAAGUCAGGGGUGAAAUGCCGAGGCUCAACUUCGGAACUGCCUUUGAUACUGGAACUCUUGAGUCUGGGAGAGGUGAGUGGAACUGCGAGUGUAGAGGUGAAAUUCGUAGAUAUUCGCAAGAACACCAGUGGCGAAGGCGGCUCACUGGCCCGGAACUGACGCUGAGGCACGAAAGCGUGGGGAGCAAACAGGG
rnacentral:rRNA from 1 species